GACGAACGCUGGCGGCGUGCUUAACACAUGCAAGUCGAACGGAAAGGCCCUGCUUUUGUUGGGUGCUCGAGUGGCGAACGGGUGAGUAACACGUGAGUAACCUGCCCUUGACUUUGGGAUAACUUCUGGAAACUGGGGCUAAUACCGGAUAUGAGCUCCUGCUGCAUGGUGGGGGUUGGAAAGUUUCGGCGGUUGGGGAUGGGCUCGCGGCUUAUCAGCUUGUUGGUGGGGUAGUGGCUUACAAAGGCUUUGACGGGUAGCCGGCCUGGGAGGGUUGCCGGCCACAUUGGGACUGAGAUACGGCCCAGACUGCUACGGGAGGCAGCGGGGGGGAAUAUUGCAGAAUGGGCGGAAGCGUGAUGCAGCAACGCCGCGUGCGGGAUGACGGCCUUCGGGUGGUAAACCGCUUUGUCCUGUGACGAAGCGUGAUUGACGGUAAUGGGUAAAGAAGCACCGGCUAACUACGUG
rnacentral:rRNA from 1 species